rnacentral:rRNA from 1 species
UAAUAGCUCACUGGUCGAGUGGACAUGCGCCGACAAUAUACGGGGCUAAGCAUGGUACCGAAGCGACGGAUUGUAUCUUUAUAGAUACUUUGGUAGGGGAGCUUUCUUGUAUGGGGUGAAGCGCAAGGAUAACCUUGCGUGGACUUGCAAGAAGUGAGAAUGCUGGCAUGAGUAACGAGAAAGGCGUGAGAAACGCCUGCGCCGUAAACCUAAGGUUUCCUGGGCAAGGCUAAUCCUCCCAGGGUCAGUCGGGAGCUAAGGCGAGGCCGGAAGGCGUAGUCGAUGCACAGCAGGUAGAUAUUCCUGCACCUCCAACGUAUCGUUUUUACCAAUGGGGUGACAAAGCAGGGUAGCUCAAGCGGGGUUCUGGACGUCCCCGUGGAGCCACGUAGGUAGGCGGGUCAGUGAAAUGCGGCCUGCCGCUAUAAACUGAGGUGGCGCCCGAAACGAUUGAGCGAAGUGAGCAAGCCCAUACUUUCAAGAAAAACCUCUCGGGAGAUACUCGGAGCCCGUACCAAAACCGACACAGGUGGGUGGGUAGAAUAUACCAAGGCGAUCGGGAGAACCAUGGUUAAGGAACUCGGCAAAAUAACCCCGUAACUUCGGAAGAAGGGGUGCCACAGCGUGUGAGUGCACGUGCUGCACAAGCUGGAUGUGGCCGCAGUGAAAAGGUCCAAACGACUGUUUAUCAAAAACACAGGACUCUGCUGAAGUCGUAAGACGACGUAUAGGGUCUGACGCCUGCCCGGUGCCGGAAGGUCACGAGGAGCUGUCAGCGCAAGCAAAGCAGCGAAUCUAAGCCCCGGUAAACGGCGGCCGUAACUAUAACGGUCCUAAGGUAGCGAAAUUCCUUGUCGGGUAAGUUCCGACCUGCACGAAAGGCGUAACGAUUUGGACGCUGUCUCAACCAUAGACCCGGUGAAAUUGCACUAGUCGUGAAGAUGCGACUUACCCGCAGAAGGACGGAAAGACCCCGUGAACCUUUACUGCAGCUUGACAUUGGCUGCCGGUUCGUCGUGUAGAGGAUAGGUGGGAGACUUUGAACCAGGGACGCCAGUUUCUGGGGAGUCACCCUUGGAAUACCACCCUCGACGUUUCGGCAUCCUAACCUGCGACCGUUAUCCGGCGUGGGGACCGUGUCAGGUGGGUAGUUUGACUGGGGCGGUCGCCUCCUAAAAUGUAACGGAGGCGCACGUAAGGUCUGCUCAGAAUGGUCGGCAACCAUUCUUUUGAGUGCAAGAGCAUAAGCAGGCUUGACUGCGAGGCCUACAAGCCGAGCAGAUGGGAAACCAGGUUCUAGUGAUCCGGCGGCUCAGAGUGGUAUGGCCGUCGCUCAACGGAUAAAAGGUACUCCGGGGAUAACAGGCUGAUCUUCCCCAAGAGUCCACAUCGACGGGAAGGUUUGGCACCUCGAUGUCGGCUCAUCGCAUCCUGGGGCUGGAGCAGGUCCCAAGGGUUUGGCUGUUCGCCAAUUAAAGCGGUACGUGAGCUGGGUUCAGAACGUCGCGAGACAGUUCGGUCCCUAUCUGUUAUGGGCGUUGGAAGUUUGAGAGGGGCUGCUUUUAGUACGAGAGGACCGAAGUGGACGAACCUCUGGUAUACCGGUUAUCCUGCCAAGGGUAAGUGCCGGGUGGCUACGUUCGGAAGGGAUAACCGCUGAAAGCAUCUAAGCGGGAAGCCCGCCUCAAGAUAAGACUUCCCCGGGACUUUAAGUCCCCUAAAGACUCCGGAGACACUAUCCGGUUGAUAGGUCGCAGGUGCAGGUACGGCGACGUACAUAGCCGAGCGAUACUAAUAAGUCGUGAGGCUUGACC